UACGAAGGGGGGCUAGCGUUGCUCGGAUUUACUGGGCGUAAAGCGCACGUAGGCGGAUCGUUAAGUCGGGGGUGAAAUCCUGGAGCUCAACUCCAGAACUGCCUUCGAUACUGGCGAUCUUGAGUCCGGAAGAGGUGAGUGGAACUCCUAGUGUAGAGGUGGAAUUCGUAGAUAUUAGGAAGAACACCAGUGGCGAAGGCGGCUCACUGGUCCGGUACUGACGCUGAGGUGCGAAAGCGUGGGGAGCAAACAGG
rnacentral:rRNA from 1 species